rnacentral:rRNA from 1 species
AAUUUUGGACAAUGGGGGAAACCCUGAUCCAGCCAUCCCGUAUGUAUGAUGAAUGCCUUCGGGUUGUAAAGUACUUUUGGUAGAGAAGAAAAGGUACCUCCUAAUACGAGGUACUGCUGACUGUAUCUGCAGAAUAAGUACGGGCUAACUCCGUGCCAUCCGCCGCGGUAAUACGUAUGGUCCAAGCGUUAAUCGGAAUUACUGGGCGUAAAGCGUGUGUAGGCGGUUCGGAAAGAAAGAUGUGAAAUCCCAGGGCUCAACCUUGGAACUGCAUUUUUAACUGCCGAGCUAGAGUAUGUCAGAGGGGGGUAGAAUUCCACGUGUAGCAGUGAAAUACGUAGAUAUGUGGAGGAAUACCGAUGGCGAAGGCAGCCCCCUGGGAUAAUACUGACGCUCAGACACGAAAGCGUGGGGAGCAAACAG